rnacentral:lncRNA from 1 species
ACGAAUAUUAUAUGAUGUUCAUAAAUUAUAUGUUAAUACUCCUAAAUAACAAAUUUAUUUAAUAAAAGAUUAAUUACAACCACAAAAAUGAAACUUUAUUAAUUCAAACCAUUGUUAGUGUAAAUAGCAUAUUUUAUCUACUGAAAUUGUAAUAAAAAUAUAGUAUAACAAUCUGAAAAAAAAAAUAGAAUUAAAAUUUAACCCACCCCUCCCUCCCACUCCCUUCCCUUCUUUUCUUCUCAGCUGGCACUUCUGGGGUGCUCCCAACACCCACCCCAACACCAUUUCCUUUUCCUUUUCUCACCAUUUCCCUUUAUUUCUCUCACCAAUUACCC